CGCAUGCGCAGUAGCGUAACUUCUUACGCUUGCAUAUUUUGUUAAGAAGAUAUUAUUAAAAGUUGUUCGUCUUGAUGAGGGCUACAACUUUGCUUAAUAUCUUUUUAACAAAUUAUGCCUAUUUAAGGAGAUUCGCCUACGCAUGCGCAGUAGCGUAACUCUUUACGCUUGCAUAUUUUGUUAAGAAGAUAUUAAUAAAAGUUGUUCGCCUUGAUGAGGGCUACAACUUUGUUUAAUAUCUUUUCAACAAAUUAUGCGUAUUUAAGGAGAUACGUCUGCGCAUGCG